rnacentral:rRNA from 1 species
GGGCCCGCACAAGCAGCGGAGCAUGUGGUUUAAUUCGAAGCAACGCGAAGAACCUUACCAGGUCUUGACAUCCAGUUAAAGCGGUAGAGAUACCGUGUGUGCUUGCACAAACUGAGACAGGUGGUGCAUGGUUGUCGUCAGCUCGUGUCGUGAGAUGUUGGGUUAAGUCCCGCAACGAGCGCAACCCUUAUUUUUAGUUACUAACGGGUAAAGCCGAGGACUCUAAAGAGACUGCCGGGGACAACUCGGAGGAAGGUGGGGACGACGUCAAAUCAUCAUGCCCCUUAUGACCUGGGCUACACACGUGCUACAAUGGCCACUACAAAGAGGAGCGAGCCCGAGAGGGGGAGCGAAUCUCAUAAAAGUGGUCCCAGUUCGGAUUGUGGGCUGCAACCCGCCCACAUGAAGUCGGAGUUGCUAGUAAUCGCGGAUCAGCAUGCCGCGGUGAAUACGUUCCCGGGCCUU